AUGGCCUGGGAUUGCCUCCCGCAGGCCAUCACCAACACAGUCUGCAUCGGCGCCAUGGUCAUGAUGGUCGGCGCGUUCGUUCAGCUGGCGCGGGAGCCCCACAGCAAGGGCUCCAUCGCGACCUCCGUCUACCUCCUCUUCUCGAUCAGCCUCACGGCCGGCUUGUACACGGUCUCCUGUCGCGCCUUCUUCCAGCGGUCGGCGUUGCGUUGGUGCUUGGCCUCCGCCACCGGGGCACUCCGUGGCGCGGGUUGGCUUCUCUGCCUGCCAUGCCGGAGCGCGUGCGCCCGCCGAAACAUAGGCAGCGGCGGCAGCGCUCUGCCGCAGUUUCUGGACCAGGCACCGAGUCACAUGCCCGCGCCGGCCCGGGAGCCACCGGUGCAUGGUGGCACACGGGUGGUGACGGCGUAUGGCAUCCCGGCGUACGAGCAGCCGGAGGACGGCGGUGGGUGA
rnacentral:rRNA from 1 species